rnacentral:sRNA from 1 species
UUUUGCAUAUCCUGGU